UUUUCAAGUCGCGGCCCCUUUAAAUGAUAAUAAAUAAUAAAAGGAAGGGGAACAGCGACGCGGGACGCCCCGCCCCCUGCCUAGGGAAGGUGGGCAAAGUGCGCGCCGCAGCCCCGAGCGCACAGGGCGCCCAGGGCGCGGGCGGGGCUGGGAGCGCCCGCGGGGGAGGGGAGGGGGGCUGGGCCUCCGCCCGGGCGGCCGCGGAAGGGUGGGGGCCUCGAGCCGGGUCGACGACCCCCUCCCCCAUCUCACCGAGCACCUAGGAGGGGCCUGCCGGGCUCGGAGUUUCACCCCUGCCCCUUAGACACGGCGCCCGGCAGCCGAGCGCCGGUUUGCAGCCCCAGGAGGGAGCUGGGAAUUGAUACAGACUUGCUGGCUCCACUGGGGUGGGCGGCAGGCCCAGGUUCCAGCUGCGUCCUGGCUGUGUGAUCUUAGUCGCACCUCCGGGCCUUUGCACUGGCUGUUCCCGCGCCUGAACCGCCCUCCCCGGGUCACCCCAUGGCCGGUGCCUUCUCCCGACUCAAACUGGAACGUCCGCCCCUCGGAGCGCCCCCCCCACGACCUCCCAGAGUCCCCAUCACCCCAUCACGCCGCCCUCCUUUAUCUCCAUCGAAAGGCUUCUGUUUCAAAACAGCUCUAUUUACUUAACCUACUUGGCCCUGCCGGCGGCUGGGUCCCCAGCCUUGAGGCUGGCCUGGUACACAGUGGAGCUCAAUACAUGUUGUUUGAUGGAUGAAUCCGUGUGU